UAGGGAAUCUUCGGCAAUGGGGGCAACCCUGACCGAGCAACGCCGCGUGAGUGAAGAAGGUUUUCGGAUCGUAAAGCUCUGUUGUAAGAGAAGAACGUGUGUGAGAGUGGAAAGUUCACACAGUGACGGUAACUUACCAGAAAGGGACGGCUAACUACGUGCCAGCAGCCGCGGUAAUACGUAGGUCCCGAGCGUUGUCCGGAUUUAUUGGGCGUAAAGCGAGCGCAGGCGGUUUAAUAAGUCUGAAGUUAAAGGCAGUGGCUUAACCAUUGUUCGCUUUGGAAACUGUUAAACUUGAGUGCAGAAGGGGAGAGUGGAAUUCAUGUGUAGCGGUGAAAUGCGUAGAUAUAUGGAGGAACACCGGUGGCGAAAGCGGCUCUCUGGUCUGUAACUGACGCUGAGGCUCGAAAGCGUGGGGAGCAAACAGG
rnacentral:rRNA from 1 species